rnacentral:rRNA from 1 species
AUUGAACGCUGGCGGCAGGCUUAACACAUGCAAGUCGAGCGGAGAUGAGGUGCUUGCACCUUAUCUUAGCGGCGGACGGGUGAGUAAUGCUUAGGAAUCUGCCUAUUAGUGGGGGACAACAUUCCGAAAGGAAUGCUAAUACCGCAUACGCCCUACGGGGGAAAGCAGGGGAUCGUCGGACCUUGCGAUAAUAGAUGAGCCUAAGGCGGAUUAGCUAGUUGGUGGGGUAAAGGCCUACCAAGGCGACGAUCUGUAGCGGGUCUGAGAGGAUGAUCCGCCACACUGGGACUGAGACACGGCCCAGACUCCUACGGGAGGCAGCAGUGGGGAAUAUUGGACAAUGGGCGGAAGCCUGAUCCAGCCAUGCCGCGUGUGUGAAGAAGGCCUUUUGGUUGUAAAGCACUUUAAGCGAGGAGGAGGCUACCUGGAUUAAUACUCUAGGAUAGUGGACGUUACUCGCAGAAUAAGCACCGGCUAACUCUGUGCCAGCAGCCGCGGUAACAC